rnacentral:rRNA from 1 species
AGCGAACGUUUGCGGCGGGCCUAACACAUGCAAGUCGAACGCACUAGCAAUAGUGAGUGGCGCACGGGUGCGUAACACGUGGGUAAUCAACCCUUCAGCCUGGGAUAACGACUCGAAAGGGUCGCUAAUACCGGAUACGGCGCGAGAGGCUUCGGCUUCUCACGAGAAAGCCACGCAAGGGGCACUGAAGGACGAGCCUGCGGCCCAUCAGCUAGUUGGUGAGGUAAGAGCUCACCAAGGCUAAGACGGGUAGCUGGUCUGAGAGGAUGAUCAGCCACACUGGAACUGAGACACGGUCCAGACUCCUACGGGAGGCAGCAGUGGGGAAUAUUGCGCAAUGGGCGAAAGCCUGACGCAGCCACGCCGCGUGAGCGAUGAAGGCCUUGGUCGUAAAGCUCUGUGGGAGGGACGGAAGAAAGACCUGUGAAGAGCAGGCCUUGACGGUAGUCUCCUUAGCAAGCACCGGCUAACUCCGUGCCACG